rnacentral:rRNA from 1 species
UACGUAGGGGGCAAGCGUUGUCCGGAUUUAUUGGGCGUAAAGAGCGUGUAGGCGGCCAUGUAGGUCCGUUGUGAAAACUCGAGGCUCAACCUCGAGACGCCGAUGGAAACCAUGUGACUAGAGUCCGGAAGAGGAGAGUGGAAUUCCUGGUGUAGCGGUGAAAUGCGCAGAUAUCAGGAAGAACACCCGUGGCUAAGGCGGCUCUCUAGUACGGUACUGACGCUGAGACGCGAAAGCGUGGGGAGCGAACAGG